rnacentral:misc_RNA from 1 species
GAUGAAGAACGUAGUAAAAUGCGAUAAGUAAUGUGAAUUGCAGAAUUCAGUGAAUCAUCGAAUCUUUGAACGCACAUUGCGCCCGCCAGUAUUCUGGCGGGCAUGCCUGUUCGAGCGUCAUUUCAACCAUCAAGCCCUGCUUGCGUUGGGGUCCUGCGGCUGCCCGCAGGCCCUGAAAACCAGUGGCGGGCUCGCUAGUCACACCGAGCGCAGUAAUACAUCUCGCUUUGGGCGUGCGGCGGGUUCUUGCCGUUAAACACCCCCUUUUUACCAAGGUUGACCUCGGAUCAGGUAGGAAUACCCGCUGAACUUAAGCAUAUCAAUAAGCGGAGGA